rnacentral:tRNA from 1 species
UGGCUCAGAAGGUUAAAGCAUCUGCCUGCAAUGCAGGAGACCCGGGUUCAACCCCUGG